rnacentral:rRNA from 1 species
UACAGAGGUCUCAAGCGUUGUUCGGAUUCAUUGGGCGUAAAGGGUGCGUAGGCGGCGCGGUAAGUCGGGUGUGAAAUCUCGGAGCUUAACUCCGAAACUGCAUUCGAUACUGCCGUGCUUGAGGACUGGAGAGGAGACUGGAAUUUACGGUGUAGCAGUGAAAUGCGUAGAUAUCGUAAGGAAGACCAGUGGCGAAGGCGAAUCUCUGGACAGUUACUGACACUGGGGCACGAAGGCCAGGGGGAGCAAAACGGGG